rnacentral:rRNA from 1 species
UACGAAGGGGGCUAGCGUUGCUCGGAAUCACUGGGCGUAAAGCGCACGUAGGCGGAUCUUUAAGUCAGGGGUGAAAUCCCAAGGCUCAACCUUGGAACUGCCUUUGAUACUGGGGAUCUCGAGUCCGGAAGAGGUGAGUGGAACUGCGAGUGUAGAGGUGAAAUUCGUAGAUAUUCGCAAGAACACCAGUGGCGAAGGCGGCCGACUGGUCCGGUUCUGACGCUGAGGCGCGAAAGCGUGGGGAGCAAACAGG